rnacentral:rRNA from 1 species
CGUAACAAGGUUUCCGUAGGUGAACCUGCGGAAGGAUCAUUGUCGAAACCUGCCCUGCAGAACGACCCCGCGAACAUGUUUGCUUAUUGCAAGGGGGAGCGGGGGUCGCCAUGGCCCCAGUCCCCCGAUGUCGGCGAGAGGGGUGGGGUGGGGCUUUGCCCCCUCAUCUCUGCCGUCGGCCGUACAACCAACCCCGGCGCAGGACGCGCCAAGGAAAAUUAAAUGAAAAGAGCACGCUGCUGUAGGCCUCGGAAACGAUGCGCCUUAGGCACGCGUCGCCCUCUUUCGAGAACCAUAACGACUCUCGGCAACGGAUAUCUCGGCUCUCGCAUCGAUGAAGAACGCAGCAAAAUGCGAUACUUGGUGUGAAUUGCAGAAUCCCGUGAAUCAUCGAGUUUUUGAACGCAAGUUGCGCCCGAAGCCUUUCGGCCGAGGGCACGCCUGCCUGGGUGUCACGCAAUUGUCGCCCCCAACCCUUUCGAUACAUCGAGAGGGGGGCGGAUUAUGGCCUCCCGUGCGCCUCGUGCAUGCGGUUGGCCUAAAAAUUGAGUCCCCGGCGACUAUCGCCACGGCAAUCGGUGGUUGUAAGACUCUCUGAAACUGCCGUGCGCGCUCGUCUGCCAAGAGGGAACCCUCGAGACCCCGAUGCUGCCGUAAAGGGCAUGCUCCAACUGCGACCCCAGGUCAGGCGGGAUUCCCCCUUUU